GACGUAGGGCGCGAGCGUUGUCCGGGAUUUAUUGGGCGUAAAGAGCUCGUAGGCGGCUUGUCGCGUCGUCCGUGAAAACUUGGGGCUCAACCCCAAGCUUGCGGUCGAUACGGGCAGGCUAGAGUUCGGUAGGGGAGACUGGAAUUCCUGGUGUAGCGGUGAAAUGCGCAGAUAUCAGGAGGAACACCGGUGGCGAAGGCGGGUCUCUGGGCCGAUACUGACGCUGAGGAGCGAAAGCGUGGGGAGCGAACAGG
rnacentral:rRNA from 1 species